CAAUGGGCGCAAGCCUGACGGAGCAAGACCGCGUGGGGGAGGAAGGCUCUUGGGUUGUAAACCCCUUUUCUCAGGGAAGAACCAAAUGACGGUACCUGAGGAAUCAGCCUCGGCUAACUCCGUGCCAGCAGCCGCGGUAAUACGGAGGAGGCAAGCGUUAUCCGGAAUGAUUGGGCGUAAAGCGUUCGUAGGUGGCUAUUCAAGUCUGCUGUCAAAGACAGAAGCUCAACUUCUGAAAGGCAGUGGAAACUGAGUAGCUGGAGUGCGGUAGGGGCAGAGGGAAUUCCCGGUGUAGCGGUGAAAUGCGUAGAGAUCGGGAAGAACACCGGUGGCGAAAGCGCUCUGCUGGGCCGCAACUGACACUGAGGGACGAAAGCUAGGGGAGCGAAUGGGAUUAGAUACCCCAGUAGUCCUAGCUGUAAACGAUGGAAACUAGGUGUUGCCUGUAUCGACCCAGGCAGUGCCGUAGCUAACGCGUUAAGUUUCCCGCCUGGGGAGUACGCACGCAAGUGUGAAACUCAAAGGAAUUGACGGGGGCCCGCACAAGCGGUGGAGUAUGUGGUUUAAUUCGAUGCAACGCGAAGAACCUUACCAGGGCUUGACAUGUCCGGAACCCUGGCGAAAGCUAGGGGUGCCUUCGGGAGCCGGAACACAGGUGGUGCAUGGCUGUCGUCAGCUCGUGUCGUGAGAUGUUGGGUUAAGUCCCGCAACGAGCGCAACCCUCGUUCUUAGUUGCCAUCAUUAAGUUGGGCACUCUAGGGAGACUGCCGGUGACAAACCGGAGGAAGGUGGGGAUGACGUCAAGUCAUCAUGCCCCUUACGUCCUGGGCUACACACGUACUACAAUGGGAAGGACAGAGGGCAGCCACUUCGCGAGGAGGAGCUAAUCCCGUAAACCUUUCCUCAGUUCAGAUUGCAGGCUGCAACUCGCCUGCAUGAAGGAGGAAUCGCUAGUAAUCGCAGGUCAGCAUACUGCGGUGAAUCCGUUCCCGGGCCUUGUACACACCGCCCGUCACACCAUGGAAGUUAGCCAUGCCCGAAGUCAUUACUCUAACCUUUCGAGGAGGAGGGUGCCGAAGGCAGGGCUGAUGACUGGGGUGAAGUCGUAACAAGGUAGCCGUACCGGAAGGUGUGGCUGGAUCACCUCCUUUUUAGGGAGACCAAACUUCGGUUGAGCUAACCCCAAUUUACAAGCCAACUGAGGUCAUCCCAGGUCGUGCGAGGAAUUGAGUAACUACUAGGCUUUCAAACUUUCGGUUCGGAUWUUAUGA
rnacentral:rRNA from 2 species